ACUGGGUGCUUCUUGCUUUGACCUUGGCUCUGGCACUGCUAGAGUGGCCAACCGUCCUGGUUUGUUCAGAACUGAAGAGUUCUAGAGACGUGGAGGGAAUAUCUGCUAAACGGAAACUGUGACACUUAAUCAAUCACCCUGCUACCAGACAGGUGAUCUGGCAAGUUCUCUGACAGUUCUGAGCCUCAGUUUCCCCAUACUCAAAAUGUGUAGCCAAGCCCAACUUGUAGAAACCCCCCAGUGAACAGAGGUGCCUCCCAGAGAACAGCCAGCAUUGCUCAGACUCUUAAUGUGAUAAACUGCCCCCUUCACCCCCUUGUUUCCUACUUUACAGUGGCUGAUGGCCUCCCCAGGGGGAGACCUGCAGUCUGCUGCACAGUAGUCACAGUAAAGGGCUUCCUCCAGGUACCUCGUACAUCGUCUCCAGGGAAACCUCGCAGCUUCCGGGUCCCCCUGCCCCAUCUCCUGUUCCAAGACAGCCCCUGAUGCCUGCAUGCACCCCCAGGACAGUUAAGACUUUGUUGCCGAUGCUUCGCUCCUACAGCUCCAGGCCUGUGGUCUCAUUUUCACUGGCUCUGCUUGGCUCUAAACCUCUGAGAAAGCCCCACCUAUGACCUCGUCUGCCCUCACCUUGAUUGCAUGGGAGAGUGCUUCCUAAAAUUAAUUACUGAGCGGAGGAGAGCCAGCUACAUACUGGCGUUUCUCUGUGGAAGGAAAAACAUGUACCACUCAUUCCAAGCAAAUUGCUUCAUAGCAGUGACUUCACCCAGCCCCAGAAGGAGCUGAAAUGCUUAGGAUGCAACUACACGCAGCUCAUAGAAGGUGCGAACUUGCAGGAAUGUUGGAACCUUGUCCAAUUCACAAGCGAAUGCCUUCCACCCUUUCUGGCCAGCCUCCAGCCAGCAGAAUGGGAGACACAUGCAUGGUGACUGCCAAUUUCAGGCAGAGAAAGGGACACUGUGGGGAAGAGGCCAGCACAUGGCUGUUUUGUGUUUGUGUUUGGUCUUUUCCCAAGAAGGAAACACUUGGACAUAGAACCCAGAGUUGAACCGGUGCUCUAGUCCCUUCCUGAGGAAGUCUCUAGAAGAUGAGCCAUCAGACUGAAGCCACCUUCCAGAAGUUACCAGAAUACUGACCACCACUCCACCCCUGCACUCAGACAGAACAGCUGAAAUUGUGAUGCCAAGUGUAGGAACGGGUGGAGGCUUUCCUGAGGUGCUGUGCCCAGGUCUUUCUGAGGAGGCAGCGAUCACUACAAGAUCCCAAGUGUACAGCCAGGAGCCACAGGAUGCCCUAAAUUAACAAGACCCACUCUUGGAGCCUCCUUAGAACCCAAGGCCACCAAAGGGAGGAGGGUUGCUAUGGGAAUAACCUGUGGUUGGGCUGGGACUGAAGAAGCCAAGACUACACAAUGCUAAGAAUAAAAAAUUCUUUCCUGGGAACCACAUGUCAGGUACGGGGCUAACCCCUGGCACAGCCUACAACAGCUGCUGAGCCAGCAGCAUGGCAGCUGCUGGUGGUGCCCGGCCCACAGCCCUCAGUCUGUCCACAGGGGGCCUCUCUACCUUAGAACACGCAUAGACCCAAGGCCGUGCAUGCCCCGCCCCCCCCACCGCCCAUGCAGGCAAUAAAGUUGAGACAUUAACACCAGUUAAUAUCUCAAUUGGCAUUCGGCACAUAAACACCCCAUGUUCCUCUCCUUUGGGGUACACUGAAGUAUGUUCCACACUGUCCUAGAAGCUCUCAGGAGACCAGCCUCCAGGCCCACCCCAGAGACCUCCUCACAUUCCCCUCCUUCCUGACUCUGUGAUCUUCCUCCCUCUUCCUCAUUCCUCAUCUUGCUCCUGGAGUCAUUAUUAAAUACAUCCCUUCAGUCGAGGGCCGGAGUCUCUUUUAAGGAGACGUCCUAGUUAUUGGCUAUCCCUCUAUGGCUCCUGUUUUAUCCAUGGGGCAUUCAGAUUUGGAGAUCCACUUACUUACAGAGGUGAGGAACAGUGGCAGAAGUGGUACCCAGCUGAUGGCCAUUCAUAAAUGACCAAUCCCGUCAACGCCUAUGAGCCUGGCACCAACCUAGGAAGGGGCUAGAGUGCCAGCUCCCAUCUUACUCACAGCUGGUUCCAUGCUCAGGUUCCAGCUCUCCACACGGCAGUGGUCUGGAUGCAAUGAUAAAGAGCAAUCCUGGAGGAGAUUCUGACAAAGACAGAACCCACCCACAAGGACUCAUAGCCAUAAGUCUUUUUCCGGGGAGUUCUUGGACCUGGACCCACUCAGAAAGGCACAACCCAGAAGCCAGGAAAGCCAGGCCAAUACAGUGCGGCAGCACAGCUGGCAGGACAAAGGUCAUGUCUGGUCAGCCUGCGUGGUCCCGGAGGUAACAGACUCUCCAAGUGGGUCCUGAGCCAUGGGGCUACAUCAUUCAAGAAGAUCCUUGAGCCAAGUGAGGUGUGCCUCUCCCCAUGCCCCACCACCCAAAGGGCUGUUGAAGUCCAGCAGAAAUAGAAUGCACAGUCGUGGAGACUGCCAGUGGUGAUGUCCUUGAAGUCAGGAGGCCACAACUCUUACUCACAGAUCAGGGAAAUGGACGCCAAGAGGAGGAACGGCCCCCAGUGGCCCCUUAGCAGAGCUUGGAAGCCAACACUCCGUUCGGCUCGGCACCGUUCCCAGCCACUGUGCCUGCACGGCUCGCCAUGUUCCGUCCAACGGGAAAACUAUUCUUCCCCAGGCUUGGCCCCUGUUGUCGUCCCAGCAGCCCUGUGAGGAUGCUGUAGUAGGGACCAUUUCCGUAUUUCCCAGGAAAAGAAUCAGAAGUCCAGCAUCACUUUACUAAAGCCAUUGGGGUCUUUAGUUCCUCACAGCUAUGAGGGACCUGGGACCACAGGAAGACGGUGCAAGGAAAGAAAUCAAGGCUAGAGACAGGGCCUGAUGGGUGGGUGGGGGGGACUCCCAGAACCUGCCCAAAGGCUCCUAUGGACGAGCUAUCUUUUAAGGAGUGAAUUAUGUCUAGCUUGAACAGACCCAAGGCUCACAAGCGUUUGGGUGUCUUAACCAUUUCCUUCAUCCCUGUCCUGUCGCAGGCUUUCUCAUCAGACUUUCUUUGGACUGCCAGCUCCCAAAUAAUGACAUGGAGACUUAUUAUUAAUUAUGAAAGCUUGUCCUUAGCCUAGGCUUGUUCCCAGAUAGCUCUUGUAACUUAAAUUAGCCCGUUUAUAUCCAUCUAUAUUCUGCCACGUGGCUGUUUACCUCUUCUCUAUCCCUCUGUGUCUGGCUGGAGAAAUCCCUCAUGUCUCUGAUUCUUCCUGAGUUUCUCUCUCUCCCCAGAAGUCCCACCUAUUCUCUCCUGCCUAGCUAUUGGCCAUUCAGCUCUUUAUUAAACCAAUCAGAAGGCACCCCAGGCAGAGACACAUCUUCACAGUGUACAAAAAGAUUAUUCCACAGCACGGUCUACUCCUACUCCUGCUACCAAGUACACACGGCCAUGAAGGAUUCUGAUUUCAGCAACUGAAACUCAUCAGUAUGGCCCUCAGUACUUCCUCCUCCCCCAAGACAAUCAGAGCAAAGAAGCCAUGUCUAGUCAUCUUCCAUGGCCUGGGGUUUUCUGCUGGUAGCUGGGCAGUGUUUGAUGUGACUUUCACAGAGCUUCUGGGUCUUUAAAUGAAAAGUGACCUGGCAGGUCAGGAGAAGAACUGAGUGGGUGGAACUUUUUUUUUUUUGGUUGGCAGCCAACCUUUCCAGCCUGCAAGCUCUUCAUUUAGUCACGGACAGUGUGUGAGAGCGCCCCCUAGAGGCAACCAUAAGCCAUCACAAGACAGUGAGGUGGGCCAUCAUGCAAGGUCUAUCUCAACCUCUGUUGAGAUUGCAAGUUGACAAAAAACAGACGCAGGGUGGCAAUGGCCAAGUGAACAGAAGAGGAUAAGGCACAGAGCCACGUGUUUGGCAGCUGUGCAGAGGAUUCCUUCUGGGGUUUAGAAUGUUCUAGAAUCUGGAAUGAUCAAAGGUCUCCAUGUGUGCCUAGAACGUUAGAAGAAGCUUGAUGAGGAGUCAGGUGGCAAGACCAAGCCUCACACUACAGCUGGCGUGAAUGGGGUGGCAGAGGAGGUGGGCGGAGGGUCUCAGAGGGGUCACCGAGGCACUAAGCACGAGGAGGUGGGUGGAGCAGCAGGGCUCUUCUGUCCCCUCCCUGUGCAUGUGGCUACUCAGUCCUCUCAGGGGGCGCUGGGAUGUAGGUCUCCCUGGGCCCUUGUUUUAUAAAUGAGGGCUAGAAGAACCAUGAACACACCCAGGAUUUGAACAGGCACCCAAAGCCUGCCUGCCGGCAGGAGCUCCUCUCCUCAGGCCCGCCCUGGCCGGCCUGCAGUCCAGUUUCAAUCCAGCCUCUCCCCACUUGCUCCCAGAACCCCAUCAGCAUCUGACGACAGGAGGAUAACAACAGUGGUAAGGGAAGGGCCCAAAGGAGCUGAGCCGGGACUGAGGGGCGCCAAGUUCUUAAUGUCACCCAGCUGUGCUGGGAGCCUGGCCGGGGAUCUGGGCAACCAGAGCGCUAUGACUAGGAUAGGCCAGGAGAGAUGAAUGAGUCAGCAGGAGGCAGCAGCCAAGGCGGCCCUUUGCCUGUGGCUCCCACAGCAGGAGCAGGCUCUGCUGCUGCGGGUGCCUGCCUAGUGUUGAGGGGCGGCUGCUGUGGCCAGGUGUCUGCCUGGGACACUCUGUUUUGAACAUCAGCCUUCAUGUCCUCUCUGCCUAAAAGCCCAACAUCAUUUCCCAAGAACUAAGUCCCCAAGGGAAUCAGAAAGCCUCAAGAUCGUGUACUCUGAGAACAUGGGGAAACCAGACCUGGCUGAUAUUGUAAGAUGGGCUACAGGGCCCCACAGGAUGGCCCGGUAAAGGAAAUGUAACACACACACACACACACACACACACACACACACACACACGCACGCACGCACGCACGCACGCACGCACGCACGCGCACAUCAGUCUCAUGGAAGUGGUCUUCUGACUCCUGGGAGGUCUGCAUGUCAUUCAUACUGUGCCCCUCUCCGGCCUCCGCUGUGCACAGCAGACAGAUGUCACCAGGUUGAGUAGAGGGAAGAAACCCUAUCCAGACACUGGCUUCCAGUCAGUCCUGCUCAGCCCAGAAAAGAGCUUGCAGGUUUAUGUCCCAGGACACCAUCUGACCUGGCCCUGGCCCUUGUCUAUAACCUGCUGGGAAGAGUGUGAGUGAGAGCCCAGGAUCCCUACAACCCACUGGGAAAGCCAGAAUUGCUCCAAGAACAGGAAAAAGAGUUUGCUGUACCAGGGGACUGUGAACAAGACCCAGGGGACUGUGAACAAGACCCACGUCACAGCCAGUAUUCUACUGCUCAGGUGGGUGCCGAGAGCUAAGCCCCACAACAGGACAGGAGCCCAUCGGCCUUUGAGGAAAGGCAGUAACCUCAGGAGUAAGACAGGAGAGGCAUGCCACCAAGACAACGAAGGUCAGAUAUAGAUGGUGUGUAGUCCGGCUACAGAUCCAGAUCCCAAGUGGAGAUGGCUUUAUGUCCCCCGCCCCUUCUGCAUCCUCCUCCUGGAACCUUCCUUUCCGAUACCUGCCCCCGCUUCCCUGCUGUAGACACUCUUGGGGCAUCUCUCAGAUGCCUGGCGCCUCAACUCUCUACACCCAAGUAAUAGACUCAAGGUUGAGCUGAUGACCGCACCAGACUGACCACAAUCCUCCUCCAGCAAUCCAGACAACAGUAUGAGACAGGUGGCCUGGCCAGCAGAAGCAGGCACAGGCGGUUGACCCAUCUCUCUGCAGUCUCUGCUCUGUUCCUCCCUCAUCUGAUGGCUCACACCACUGGGUGGUCCUCUUGGACUUAAGCUGGCAAUGUUUCGUUUCUGGCAUGGGUAGCUGGAGACACAGUCCAACCCUCAGCAACCAGCCAGGACCACAUCCUCAGUGGAUGUGGGGCAUUGCUGGCCUCCCUGGGGCAGCCCCCUGACCUGAUCGCGCUUCUAACACAGCUUGAAGCUUUCACAUGAGUCUACUUGCUUGUCUUCCUCCCUCUCCCCAAAAUGGUCGGCUUAGCGGGUAGACUCUACCCAGUGAAGAGCAGUACCAAAAUGGAGUCACUUGUGUCGAACUCUGAGAAUGUGAAACCAGGGAAGGUCAUGAGGGGGCACUCUCUUAUAUGUGCCAAAGAGCAAGAAUUAUCUAUCACAAGAGACUGCCAGAUCCACAGUACAACAGGAAGGCCUCCGUGCCUCACACAGAACAUCGAGGACAUCUAGGCUCAGCAUAAUGGACUGUUCAACAUGGACCGACGCCACCCUUGUUACCGAACCUCUCAGUCAAGCAUAAUUGCUUCAAGACAACUUACGUAACCCUCUUUUUUUGUACCUUUUAGAACCCUCAUCAGGCUGGGAGUGUGGCUAGGUGGUAGAACAGCUGUCUAGCGUGCACAAGACUCUGGGGUUCUGCCCCCACCACCACCACUACACAAUAAGCAGAAGCAAAACUCUCCUCUUCCAGUGUCUCCCUGAAUAUUCUACGUUUCCUCUGUGGCCUACGCUCCUGGCAUUCAGCUCGUUUCAUUUUCCAGUUUCUGGGAUUAACCUCCAAGCUGCUAUGAAGAUGCUGACUUUGAAAGCUCCUGCCUCCAGGUUCCUGCCCUGCUUGAGUUCCUGUUCUG